CGGAUGUGUCUGAGUCAGAGUGACAGAAUCCAGGAUCAGAUCACAACCCAGGUCUGACCUCAAGGCAACAAGACCGAGCUGGCAGACAGACAAGGGGAAACCAACCUGCCUCUGCGCGUUUCCAGACUCCACCCGCAGGAUUGUGCUUAGCUGGCCCACGCCUGGUGGGAGAUGACGGGGACUUAGAUACCUAAGCAUCUGGGAAUCGCUAACCUCCAGACAGAUAGACACCAAGUGCAUGGCAGGAUCCUGGCAAACGGCAUAUGGCAAAUGCUCACACAAAAGGAACUGGCUCGAUCAGACCAAUAUGCUCCCGUCAAGAGCAACAGGACUCAUUGGCUCAGUGUGCAUUCUAUCCAGGUUCCUAAACUGAGCUUGGAAGGACGAGGAAAGAGCUGCAGAGGCGGAGACUCUGACCCCAAG